rnacentral:lncRNA from 1 species
CUAACCUAAUUAUUCAAACUCUUAAAAAUCAUAUUAAGGCUCAACUUAUGUUACAACUUUCACCACUCCCCUCAUAUUCUCUAAUUUCCUACUUUUCACCACAACUCUCUUUUUUAUAAUUUAUUUUAAUUAGUUAAUUAAAAUAACUAUAAUUCUAAUAACUUUAAUUAUUUUAAUCUUCUAUUCCUUCUACAACCCCAUCAACACUCUCACCAUCAACACG